rnacentral:lncRNA from 1 species
CCUGAAUGUCAGCAGAGCCAGGUUGAGAAAUCCAGCUCUCAGUGAAGACAAUCACAUCCCUUUGCAAACAGUCGCCCCAGGAAGCACGUUUAUUGCCAUGACGUGGAUUUGGCUCAAGCCUGUUUUGGAAGCCGGCGUGGGCACCACCCUCGAGCGGCUUAGAACCGCUGGAGAAAACUGGCCUCGCCAGCCCCCGCUGCUGAGGCCCCAAGCAGGUUGGCCUGGCAGGACCGGGGGUCUGACUCACAGAGGGUGACUAAUGGCUGUUGAAGGCAUACUGGAGACUGUGCAGGCGUGGAGGCUGGAGGGAGCUUUGCUGGCAUCCGGGGAGGAACUACCGGUCCCCAGGACAAUCGCGGAUCUGGGGCAGCCCUCAAGGACCCAGGCACAAGAUGUCACCAAGUGGGACUUGCCAGGGGCCAGAGACAGGGUCUUGUUAUGUUGCCCAGGCUGAUCUGGAACUCCUGGGCUCAAGUGAUCCUCCUGCCUCGGCCUCCCAGUGCACUGGGAUUAUGUAAGCCACCGUGCCCAACUGACAUGCAGGAACCUUAAAUGCUGGUUGUGAAGUGGAAGAAGCCAGUCUGAAAAGCCUGCAACACUGGGACUCCAACUACAGACAGCCUGGAAAAGACAGAACUGUGGAGGCAGUGAGAAGAGCUGUGGCUGCCAAAGGUCAUGGAGGGAUGAACAGGGGGAGCAUGGAGGAAUUUUAGGGCAGUGACACCACUCUGUGACACUCCAACGGCAGACACAUUCAUUAUACUUUUGUCCAAACUCAAAGAAUGUGCAACACCAAGAACCCUAAUGGAAACUAUGGCUGUUAGUAACAGUACCAACGUAGAGUUGAGUCAGGUGCAACCAACACACCACACGAAUGCAAAAUAUAAAUAAUGUGAGAACCUGGGCGUGGGAGGGGUACAUGGGAACUCUCUGCACUAUCUGCUCGGUAUUUUUAUAAACCUAAAACUGCUCUAAAACAACCAAUCUGUUUUUUUGUUUUUUUUUUAAGCGGAGCUGGGUACAGUGGUUCACGCCUAUAAUCCCAGCAUUUUGGGAGGCCAAGGUGGGAGGAUCAUUGGCAUCCAGGAGUUCGAGACCAGCCUGGGGAAUACAGUGAGACCCCCAUCUCUACAAAAAAUAAAAUAAAAAUGAAAAAAAGGCAGAUCCCACACCCAGAGGUGCAGACCCCUGAGGCCACACGCUGCCCCUGGCCCUCACCAGGUGGCGAUGGUUGCGUUGUUCUGAGACAUGUGGAUGCACCUUGUCCUACAAUCCCU